rnacentral:rRNA from 1 species
CCCUUAGAUGUUCUGGGCCGCACGCGCGCUACAAUGGUCUUCGCAAACGGAUGCAUUCUCGAAGGAGAAUGCCAAUCUUGGAAUCUAUGCCUUGGUCGGGACAGUUGCUUGCAAUUUUUCGACUCGAACCAGGAAUUCCUUGUAAUCGUGAUUCAUCACAUCACGAUGAAUACGUCCCUGCCCUUUGUACAUACCGCCCGUCGCUCCUACCGAUCGAAGAGUUAGGUGAAUUGUUUUGAUCGAUAAGAUUUGACUAUGGUCAACUCUCGUUGUGAAAUUCUGUGAAUCUGACUGUUUAGAGGAAGGAAAAGUCGUAACA